UACGGAGGGGGCUAGCGUUGUUCGGAAUUACUGGGCGUAAAGCGCACGUAGGCGGCUUUGUAAGUUAGAGGUGAAAGCCCGGGGCUCAACUCCGGAAUUGCCUUUAAGACUGCAUCGCUAGAAUUGUGGAGAGGUAAGUGGAAUUCCGAGUGUAGAGGUGAAAUUCGUAGAUAUUCGGAAGAACACCCGUGGCGCAAGCGGCCACCUGGCAGAGUUCUGACGCUGAGGCACGAAAGCGUGGGGAGCGAACCGG
rnacentral:rRNA from 1 species